AUUGAACGCUGGCGGCGUGCUUAACACAUGCAAGUCGAGCGGUAACAGGCGUAGCAAUACGUGCUGACGAGCGGCGAACGGGUGCGUAAUACCUGGGAAUCUGCCCUUUGGUGGGGAAUAACCCGGCGAAAGCCGGGCUAAUGCCGCAUAAGAUCUUCGGAUGAAAGCGGGGGACCGUAAGGCCUCGCGCCGAUGGAAGAGCCAUUGUCGGAUUAGUUAGUUGGUGAGGUAACGGCUCACCAGGGCGACGAUCCGUAGCUGGUCUGAGGGGACGGCCAGCGAAACUGGAACUGAGACACGGCCCAGACUCCUACGGGAGGCAGCAGUGGGGAAUAUUGGACAAUGGGGGAAACCCUGAUCCAGCGACGCCGCGUGUGUGAAGAAGGCCUGCGGGUUGUAAAGCACUUUCGAUGGGAACGAAAUGUGCCGGGCUAAUACCCCGGCAAGCUGACGUUACUCAAUGAAGAAGCACCGGCUAACUCUGUGCCAGCCGCCGCCGUAA
rnacentral:rRNA from 1 species